AAUAUCAAUCAUGUGUUCGUCUGCAUACAAAAUAGAAACAAGUGGAUCAUCCAUGUAAAAAAGAUCUAAUCCUCCACUACGACCACAAGGAUCGACGGUAUAGACGCGAUCAUAACCAAAAGAAACUUGCACAUCUUGCAAAAGGGAUCAAUUGUUUUUUGUCUCCGAUAAAAAUAAAAAUCUAGGUAAAAAACAGUGAUAAAAUUCUUGAAGGUGUUCUUUUGUCAAAGAAGCUCCAGCUCCUUGACAAUUCCAAGCAAUAAUAUUCAUCACGGGACUCUCGGUGGCCUUCCACCAGCCACUUUAAAGUUGUUGUCUUUGGGUGAUGCUGUCACUCGAGCUUUCUUUUGAUCCACUGUGGGAGAUGGGCCUAAAUUGCCUGGUUUAGAAACAUUUGUCCCAAGGCCUGAUCGAAAAGACUUUGGAGAUCCAAGCCCAGCAAUGUGAUUACGCUGUCUCAAAGUAACUCCAAUCGGCGAAGGGGGACGCAUCGAUCUUUUCUUCUUCUCCCCCGACGAAGCUGAGACGCGAGUCGACGGAGAGCCAGACUCCUUCCUCGGACUCCUUCUAUUUGUAUCAGCAUCAGGAUUAAUCGCCUUACCCAAGCGGGAUUCAACAUCAUUAUUUGAAACUACAGUGAUGGGGCUUUUGAUUCCAGGAUCGUCCGUUCUCAAUCGAUUCUCUUCUUCAGUCUAUAAAUCUUCACCAAGUAGGUCAUCCUCCUCCAUCAAAUCGAUAUCUUCCUCCCCAAAAUCAUUGCCAUCUGCAUCUCCAAAAUCAUUACCAUCUUCUAACCAGUCUUCUUCUUCAAGAAUUCUCUCAUUAAGAGGUAAAACAAGGGUCGGCGCUGGAGGGAGAUUGACAGAAGGUGUGUCUGAAGGAGCUUCAAAAGUCUGUAGAGGCUCGCGAUUGGAGAUUAAGCCUGAAAGGUCUCUCUCUGGUAUGCUCUGGAGAAACCGUAUUUUGUCUUGCUGGGUCGGCUGAGGGGUUUGGCUCUGCGAUCUGUGGAACAGCUGCAGCAACAAUUUUUGGGCUACAAACUGUCUCCUUAGACAGGUCACGAGCUUCCUUUCGGUUAGGAGGAUCCCUUUGUCGAUCACUGUGCGUCUUCUCAUACCGAUGGUCAAAGCGGGUUUUAGGGCGAGGAUCAACUCGUGGAUCAUACCGGGAGUCAAUGCGUUUCCAAACGCUAUCCCGGGUGUCCCUGUGAGUGUCCUCCCCACUGCGCCUAUCCUUGGAGGCUUGAGGUUGCGAGCGCUUAGAGCUUCAGUGAGUAGGGGGCAAGACUCGAGCUCAUGGGAGAUACGACGACAAUGCCUGCAGUAGCGAUGGAGGUUAGAGUAGACAAGCUUAACCGGCACAAUCUCACCUGACGGUAGUUGGGCACGUAGAGCAAACUUCAGAGGAAGGUCCAUGUUUAUUUCGACUUGGACUUUGGUAGCUCUAGCUUCAAUUGGCCCCACUGUCCCUAGCCUUCUUCCCAGGGAUUCAAAGAUAGGAUCCAUCCAGAAGUGCCUUGGAAUACCAAUGACACUGAUCCAGAAGGUCAUGGUGUUGGGGAAAGUAUCACUGAUAUGAGGGAUCCAACGUUCUAAGGAUAAAGCCCAUUUGUUGAAGUGGCAAGGCCGCUUGCUCGAGACUUUAACCAGGUCAGCCUAUGUAUCAAAAUCAAAUUGGAACCGAUGGUUUCCUAGAUCCAGGCCUCUUACUCUUCCUUCCACAUCCCAUAUACUAGGCCUUGGAAGUAGAGAUAUGAGAUCCUCAACGCUGCGGCUUUCUGUGUUUGAAAAUUCUCCCUACGAGACUGAGUUUGAACUGAGCAAUCAACUCUGAGUUGUCGACAUUAGGCAAGAUGACUAGGUCAUCAUCAUCUUCUUCUUGUGUCUGCGAUGAGCUGCCGUGGAGAUGUGAGACAAGAGAUGAGGCCAUCGCUGUUGAAGAGAAGUUCGAGAAUGGAGGUGAAGAAACAGGUAUCUACCGAAAUUGUAUCCAAGAAAACCAAAGAGAGAGGUCAAAGAAACAGCAGCCACCAAGUCUUCCUUUCUAGGAGCUUGGACUUAGAUAAGGAGAAAACUGUCAGAGUAUCAAGUAGAGGUAGACAAACUGAGCCAUUACUUAGAUUGGAAGCUUGGUGAG